CUACGGGUCGCUGCAGUGGGGAAUAUUGGGCAAUGGGCGAAAGCCUGACCCAGCAACGCCGCGUGAAAGAAGAAGGUUUUCGGAUCGUAAACUUCUAUCCCGGGUGAAGAUAAUGACGGUAGCCCGGAAGGAAGCCCCGGCUAACUACGUGCCAGCAGCCGCGGUAAUACGUAGGGGGCAAGCGUUGUCCGGAAUGAUUGGGCGUAAAGGGCGCGUAGGCGGCCCACUAAGUCCGAUGUGAAAGUCCUGCUUUUAAGGUGGGAAUUGCAUUGGAAACUGGAGGGCUUGAGUGCAGGAGAGGUAAGUGGAAUUCCCGGUGUAGCGGUGAAAUGCGUAGAGAUCGGGAGGAACACCAGUGGCGAAGGCGACUUACUGGACUGUAACUGACGCUGAGGCGCGAAAGUGUGGGGAGCAAACAGGAUUAGAUACCCCGGUAGUC
rnacentral:rRNA from 1 species